rnacentral:piRNA from 1 species
UUGAAAGAUGAGGAGGGAC